UGGUGGGGUGACCCGUCUGGUUAAUUUCGAUAACGAACGAGAUCCGAGCUGUUUAGUUGGCCAUAUCCGUCUAUGCGAGGUAUGUGUCUCCUAUAUGGACUGUCAGUAUGAGGCUGAAGGAAGUUUCGGGCUAAAUCA
rnacentral:rRNA from 1 species